GAUGAACGCUGACAGAAUGCUUAACACAUGCAAGUCAACUUGAACUUCGGUUUGGGUGGCGGACGGGUGAGUAACGCGUAAAGAACUUGCCUCACAGCUAGGGACAACAUUUGGAAACGAAUGCUAAUACCUGAUAUUAUGAUUUUAGGGCAUCCUAGAAUUAUGAAAGCUAUAUGCGCUGUGAGAGAGCUUUGCGUCCCAUUAGCUAGUUGGAGAGGUAACGGCUCACCAAGGCGAUGAUGGGUAGCCGGCCUGAGAGGGUGAACGGCCACAAGGGGACUGAGACACGGCCCUUACUCCUACGGGAGGCAGCAGUGGGGAAUAUUGGACAAUGGACCAAGAGUCUGAUCCAGCAACUCUGUGUGCACGAUGAAGUUUUUCGGAAUGUAAAGUGCUUUCAGUUGGGAAGAAAAAAAUGACGGUACCAACAGAAGAAGUGACGGCUAAAUACGUG
rnacentral:rRNA from 1 species